GGACUACCCGGGUAUCUAAUCCGGUUCGCUCCCCACGCUUUCGCGCCUCAGCGUCAGGUAAAGCCCAGCGAGCCGCCUUCGCCACUGGUGUUCCUCCGGAUCUCUACGCAUUUCACCACUACACCCGGAAUUCCACUCGCCUCUGCUUCCCUCCAGCUCAGCAGUCCCCACGGCACUCGCCCAGUUGAGCCGGGCGCUUUCACCAUGGACUUGCUGUGCCGCCUGCGCGCGCUUUACGCCCAAUAACUCCGGACAACGCUUGCCACCUACGUCUUACCGCGGCUGCUGGCAC
rnacentral:rRNA from 1 species